UACGGGGGGGGCAAGCGUUGUCCGGAAUUACUGGGCGUAAAGAGCUCGUAGGUGGUUUGUCGCGUUGUCCGUGAAAACUCACAGCUUAACUGUGGGCGUGCGGGCGAUACGGGCAGACUGGAGUACUGCAGGGGAGACUGGAAUUCCUGGUGUAGCGGUGGAAUGCGCAGAUAUCAGGAGGAACACCGGUGGCGAAGGCGGGUCUCUGGGCAGUAACUGACGCUGAGGAGCGAAAGCGUGGGGAGCGAACAGG
rnacentral:rRNA from 1 species